rnacentral:rRNA from 1 species
UAAUCCACACGACUCUCGGCAACGGAUAUCUCGGCUCUCGCAUCGAUGAAGAACGUAGCGAAAUGCGAUACCUGGUGUGAAUUGCAGAAUCCCGCGAACCAUCGAGUCUUUGAACGCAAGUUGCGCCCGAGGCCUUUGGGCCGAGGGCACGCCUGCCUGGGCGUC